rnacentral:rRNA from 1 species
CCUACGGGAGGCAGCAGUGGGGAAUUUUGCGCAAUGGGCGAAACCCUGACGCAGCGACGCCGCGUGGAGGAUGAAGGCCUUCGGGUUGUAAACUCCUUUUGUGGGGGACAAUGGUGAUGGUACCCCAUGAAUAAGCCACGGCUAACUCUGUGCCAGCAGCCGCGGUAAGACAGAGGUGGCAAGCGUUGUUCGGAAUCACUGGGCUUAAAGGGCGUGUAGGCGGCAUUGCAAGUCUGGGGUGGAAUCCGGUGGCUUAACCCCCGAACUGCCCUGGAAACUGCAUUGCUUGAGUCAGUGAGGGGAGGGCGAAAUUCCCGGUGUAGCAGUAAAAUGCGUAGAUAUCGGGAGGAAGGCCGGUGGCGAAGGCGGCCCUCUGGCCUGCCACCGACGCUGAGGCGUGAAAGCGUGGGGAGCAAAAGGGAUUAGAUACCCCUGUAGU